CCCUUCGCUCCCCACAGCCUCUUCCCUCCCUGGGGCGGCCCCAGAUUUCUCAAUAGCAUUUCCUAAGUUUUUCAGUCCCUGGGGCCAGCACAUCCUGGAUAAUACAUUCAUACGGCUCAACAUCUAGAAGGUACAAGUAGAUACCCAGGGAAAUGGUCAUCUUCCUCUCGGCCCCGUCGCCAGCCAUUCAAGCGUCAAAUGAAACAGGCUGUGUAAACCGAAAUCUCCCGUUUCUUUCCCGAGAUACCGUUCAUGCCCUUACAAACGUUGGCACAUUAAAUAGAUAUAUAUAUCAUUAUGCUCUACACACUAUUCUUCCUGGUCCCCCUGGGGCUACACCUGGCUUUUGCCGGAACAAUACACCUUAGCAAUUGCCUCCCAUCAGUGCUGGGAGAACUUCCUUGUUCUGGCAGCUGCCUCCUGUUACGUUCUGGGAGGGAGGCCGGCCUCUCGGCGGGGGCUGCCGACGCCCGCGGUUUGCAGACCGCGCUUUCUCUGCCGAGCGAUUUUGUGCUCGUGUCACUUUCCAGCUCCGACACUUAAUUAGUGAUACACAGUGGGCACGUCACCGAUAACCACUCUGAGCCUCAGUUUCCCCAUGUGAAACGGGGAGUUAGAGCAGCGCACGCUUUGUGGGGUUGUUAUGGCCACCAAGGGAGAUAAGCCCGGAUCAAGGAUCCAAGUCCGCGGGCGUGAGUGAUCUCGC